CAAUACACCUAGGAGAGCAAACUUCGAACAAUAAACCCGGGCAGGCGGAGGUCGUUAGCCGUGGUAGGCAAUCUGCCUAGGAGAGGGACAACUCCGAACAACAAACACGGGCAGGUGGAGCUCGUUAGCUGUGGUAGGUUAUUCGCCUAGGAGAGGGACAACUCCGAACAACAAACACGGGCAGGUGUAGCUCGUUAGCCGUGGUAGGCAAUUCGCCUAGGAGAGGGACAACUCCGAUUACAAACCCGGGCAGGUGGAACUCGUUAGCGUAAGCAGUUCACCUAGGAGAGCAAACUCCGAUUACAAACCCGGGCAGGUGGAGCUCGUUAGCGUGAGCAGUUCACCUAGGAGAGCAAACUCCAAUUACAAACCCGGGCAGGUGGAGGUCGUUAGCGUGAGCAGUUCACCUAGGAGAGCAAACUCCGAUUACAAACCCGGGCAGGUGGAGGUCGUUAGCGUAAGCAGUUCACCUAGGAGAAGGAAAACUCCGAGCAAAAAACCCGGGCAGGUGGAGCUCGUUAGCCGUGGAAGGCAAUACACCUAGGAGAGCAAACUCCGAACAAAAAACCCGGGCAGGUUGGGCUCGUGAGCCGUCAUAGGCAAUACACCUAGGAGAGCAAACUCCGAACAAAAAACCCGGGCAGGUUGGGCUCGUGAGCCGUCAUAGGCAAUACACCUAGGAGAGCAAACUCCGAACAAAAAACCCGGGCAGGUUGGGCUCGUGAGCCGUCAUAGGCAAUACACCUAGGAGAGCAAACUCCGAGCAAUAAACCCGGGCAGGCGGAGGUCGUUAGCCGUGGUAGGCAAUCUGCCUAGGAGAGGGACAACUCCGAACAACAAACACGGGCAGGUGGAGCUCGUUAGCUGUGGUAGGUUAUUCGCCUAGGAGAGGGACAACUCCGAACAAUAAACACGGGCAGGUGGAGCUCGUUAGCUGUGGUAGGCUAUUCGCCUAGGAGAGGGACAACUCCGAACAAUAAACACGGACAGGUGGAGCUCGUUAGCUGUGGUAGGCAGUCCUCCUAGGAGAAGGAAAACUCCGAAUUCAAACCAACCACACACACACACACACACACACAACCAACCGGGCAGGUGGGGCUCGUUAUAGGCGUCGUAGACAAUCCAAAAAGGGGAAUCAACAAAAAGAGGAUAAUAAAAGCGAAAACACGAGAAGAAUAUGACAUUAGAACCGGACAUAAAAGAAUAAUGUAAGAUGGAACACCAAAGAAGGGAUAGUUAAGAAAACAAGAUCGAGAAGACCAUAAGAUACACGCGGAUCAUCCAGACUGACA